rnacentral:lncRNA from 1 species
GUCAAUUAUUACUAUUUUUGGGUUGUAAAUUUCUUUUCUUGCUGCUUUUCAAUUUAAUAAUACCCCAGAAUCCAGACUAAAGUGCCUAAAGCCUUUACAAGGUCAGGAAUUUUAUAUAAAUUCCUAGUAGGAAAAGGUCCUGUCGAAAUAUUCCUAAUGAUUAAUCAGCUGCUUCCAUGAAAUCUCCUAAAAUCGAGAUGUCCAUUGCAGUUUCAUGGUUCCAGACUAUUGCAGCUAGCGCAUUCUAGGAUCUACAAGUUAGACACUAGGAAAUUUGGAUUUGUCGAUCCAAACUCCUAAAUACACAUUUUUUGGUCGUAGUAAAACUGGUUAAGAAUCUAUUAAAAAUACACAAAAAAUAUUUUAACUUUAGCACCCUGUAUCUCGGAAACUGUUAACUUUCAGAUAAGUCAAAUUUGCCUGUAAUGCAAUACUUUUGCCUGAACAAUAUGCCAGUGAAUUUUGGGUAUAUAAAUUAUUUGAAAAGUUGUAUAGGUAUAUAAAAACGAACUGGUUUAGAAACAUAUUUUAAAGCGAAAAUAACUGUAUUAAAUAUUAUAACCUUCUUUCUUUUAAAGUAUUUUAAAUUUAAACAAACAAAGUUCAAUCAAAGCCCAUAUACAUACGAAAGUUCAUUAUACGUACAGAGUUUAUAGCUUAAAACAUCUAUACAGUUCUAAGUAAAUAAUGCUGUGUGAGAUAAAAAAAAUAUAUAUGUGGUUCGUACGACAUGUGAAUAAACCUCGUAAACAUGA